rnacentral:tRNA from 1 species
GGCCGGUUAGCUCAGUCGGCAGAGCGUUGUGCUAAUAACGCGAAUGUCAUGGGUUCGAGCCCCAUAUCGAACA